CGGCUAAGGUGCCUCCGCGACCAGGGUUGCUCUUUCAUAUUGGUCUCAGCAGCGAACAGUAAAAGUCGACUCUAAUCGGCUUGAAUCUUGACCUCUAGGUAAAACUAGAGAUCUUGAAAACUUCGAAAUGAGAGCAAAGUGGCGUAAGAAGAGGAUGCGCAGGCUAAAGCGUAAGAGGAGGAAGAUGCGUGCGAGGUCCAAGUAGAUUUCCACCAUCGAUAAUAACUCUAUGCGUCUGACAAAAUGAGGAUAUCCUUGCUACCAAGUUUGGCUGUAUCAUCAACUUUUGUACUUCCUGGACAUUAAACUACAUAGAGUUAUUCACAUUUAUAAAAUUUCAUCUUGCUGAGUUUAAUAAAACAACAAUGAUGAAUCAUAAAA